GUAGGAGUGAGCCUGCUCGCGAUGACGUCGUGUCAGUCACCACUGAUUUAUAUGACCCACCGCUAUCGCGAGCAGGCUCACUCCUAC
rnacentral:antisense_RNA from 1 species